rnacentral:lncRNA from 1 species
ACUUCACCUACGGAAGAACGUAGGUUAGACGAGGGAAGUACUCAAGAGUGAACCUCACCUACGGAAACGUAGGUUAGACGAGGGAUGUACUCAAAAACGAACCCCACCUACGGAAGAACGUAGGUUAGACGGGGGAAGCAUCGGCAAGAGUGAACCUCACCUACGGAAACGUAGUGUUAGACGAAGGAUGUACUCAAAAGCAAACCCCACCUACGGAAGAACGUAGGUUAGACGGGGGACGCAUCGGCAAGAGUGAACCUCACCUACGGAAACGUAGGUUAGACAAGGGAUGUACUCAAAAGCAAACCCCACCUACGGAAGAACGUAGGUUAGACGGGGGACACAUAGGCUAAACACACACCCCGUUCUACAAAAAACGUAGACAGAGGUGCAAGUGUUGAAGAGUGAACCUCACCUACACGGAAGAACGUAGGUUAGACGAGGGACGUACUCAAGAGCAAACCUCACCUACGGAAGAACGUAGGUUAGACGAGGGAUAAGCUCAAAUAAUAAUCCUCACCUACGGAUGAACGUAGGUAGACGAGGGAUCACGCCAAACCUCAGUCGCAGAAAGGCGAGCAAAAGGAGGGGGCAAGUAUUCAAAUAAUAAUCCUC